AACGCGAAGAACCUUACCAAGGCUUGACAUAUACCGGAAACGGCCAGAGAUGGUCGCCCCCUUGUGGUCGGUAUACAGGUGGUGCAUUGGCUGUCGUCAGCUCGUGUCGUGAGAUGUUGGGUUAAGUCCCACAACGAGCGCAACCCUUGUUCCAUGUUGCCAAGCACGUAAUGGUGGGGACUCAUGGGANACUGCCGGGGUCAACUCGGAGGAAGGUGGGGAUGACGUCAAGUCAUCAUGCCCCUUAUGUCUUGGGCUGCAAACAUGCUACAAUGGCCGGUACAAUGGGCGUGCGAUACCGUAAGGUGGAGCGAAUCCCUAAAAGCCGGUCUCAGUUCGGAUUGNAGUCUGCAACUCGACUCCAUGAAGUCGGAAUCGCUANUAAUCNCANAUCAACAUUGCUGCGGUGAAUACGUUCCCGGGCCUUGUACACACCG
rnacentral:rRNA from 1 species